rnacentral:rRNA from 1 species
UGAGGAAUAUUGGUCAAUGGGCGAGAGCCUGAACCAGCCAAGUAGCGUGAAGGAUGACUGCCCUAUGGGUUGUAAACUUCUUUUAUAAAGGAAUAAAGUCGGGUAUGGAUACCCGUUUGCAUGUACUUUAUGAAUAAGGAUCGGCUAACUCCGUCGCC